GCCACGGAGGGUUGUCCGCCAGCUGAUGCGGCAGCCUUCUCCAGUCUCAGGCUUCGCGGAAGUGAAAACAAGCCAAGAACAAAACCCGUACAAAUCCCCAAGUCCAAACAGCUCCAGUCACAUUCAAGAAAAGCAAAGGUACUGAGAAUUGUGCUAAACCAAAAGUCUCUAUCUUCAGAAAAUCAUCUGUAACUGAAAAAGACACACCGCAAGUAAAAAGCAAUACUUCGUGAAACAAAACCAAACCAAGCAAAAACUUCCUUUCCUUGAAAGUCGAUGCCUUUAAGCACACACCCUGCCAAGUUAAUUUUCUGCUGAAUAUUAUUUCUCCUGCUGCCUGUAAUGAGGGGCCUGAGAAGAGGAACAGGAAGUUUGCACUCAUGUGGGAGGUUUGCUGGAAAAUUGUGUGGUAAUUUAUUACAGAGAUCCAGCUGGGCUUUGGAGUGAAAUCUGGUGGCUCUGCAGAGGGUGACAAAGGCAGAAAUGGAGCUGUCUUUAAACAAAACAGAAGGAAGGGCAGAGAGACCUCUAUAUGCCUGCCCUCCCUGCCACACACUGGGAGCAUCGCUCAGGGUCUGGGAGUCAACUCAGCAGCCUCUGCUGACGUGUCCCCACCACCAGCUCAUGGGGAAGCUGGCCUCCCACACAGCAACUUAGUCCCAGAUCAGCGGUUCCCAGUGAGCGGUAAAAAAACAAAAAACAGCAAGAAAUGGCUUUCCAAGUCCUCUUUCAUGGAGACGAACAGAAAUGGCAAAGACUAUUUUCAUCAUUACUGCUGUAAAACGUUCUGAUGUUCUAGGGAGAUAAAAGGUAAGGAUCGUCCAGCCCUCCCACCUCUAUCUACCCUGAUCCACCCAUAGCCACCCCACCUGUAAAACUGUUCCACCUGGUCUUUAUAAAUUCCCCAAAGGUCCAGAUUUCAAACUAACUAUCUCUGAAAUAUGGAGGAAGGUUGUUCUUCUCUCUUGUCCUCUGCUAAGAAGUUCAGGGAAGGUGCUAAUAUUUACUGAGCUCCUGGCCGAUGUCAAGGCAUUUUCUCAGUAUUUAAUGUUCAUGAUGGCACUUUAAGGUACGUAUUCUUAUGUCUAUUGAUGGGGAGACUGUGCAUCAGAAAGAUUAAGAAAUUUAUUCAAGAUCACAUUGCAAAUAAUUGAUGGGAGUUCUCUUGUGGCUCAGCCGGUUAAGGACCCAGUGUUGUCACCACAGCAGCAGCUUGGGACACUACUGUGGCAUGGGUUCAGUCCCUGGCCAGGGAAACUCCAAAUGCCAUGGGCGUGGCCAAAAAACAAUUGGUAAAAACAGCGUCUUAACCCCAUCCACCUCGUUCCUUCCAUUAAUUGAUCUUCCAAAACAUGAUUGGAGAGAAAGUAUGGCAUAAAUUACCACUGUAGUUCUUCAGUUGGUUAAACAGAAAAAAUAUUGAGCUUAUUUUCAAAUCAAUCAAUCAAUCAAUCUUGGUUGUUUCCUCCCAAAGGCAAUAUUGACUUGUUUAAAAGAAAACCUUAAAAAUGAAGCUCUGUUGAUAUUUGAAAAUGACCAUAUUUUUUCUAUAUGUGUCAUUGAAACCCUUGAGAAGGCUAGAAAAUUCUACCACUUCACAAACCCUCGGACCUGACAAGGGGGGGAAAGCCUUUUUUGCAAAGUCAAGACACAGUCAUUCUUGGCUCAUGAGCGUGUGGGGAUCAGUUGAAACAUGUCUGAAAGCAAUUUAUUGCCAGUAUAGAAGUUAGCAAAUCAUUACUCAGAUAUGAUGAAGUACUCAUAAAAGUAUACUUUCUAGUGUUUUAUAUGCCUAAAAUUUACAUUAACAAAAAGAUUUAUUAUGUUUCUUUUACAUUUUCCAAUUUUUAUUGAAGUAUAGUUCAUUUGCAGUGAAACGACAGAUCUUCAGCACACAGUUCUGAGUUUUAGCAGUCAUGUACAUCUGUGUAACCCACACCCCAUCAUGCUACUGAAUACUUCCACACACCCCCAAAUAUCCCUCAGGCCCUAUCUCUGUCAACCCCUGCCCACCCUACCCCUCCAUAGACAACCACUGUCCUGAUUUCUUCUGAUAUAGAUGGGUUUUGCCUUUGUUAGAAGUUCAUAUAGAUGGAAUUGGUGUGUAUCUCUUUGUACCUGGCUUCUUCCAUUCAGUGUAACAAUAUUGAGGCCCAUCCAUGUGUUGUGGGUAUCAGAUUUUCUGUGUGAUUUUCUGUUCUUUUUUUAUGGCUGAGUAGUAUUCCUUUGUACGGAAGGAUCCAUUUUGUUUAUUCAUUCUCCUGCUGAUGGACACUUGAGUUGCUUCUAGUUUGUGGCUAUUCUAGUUGUUGAAGCCGAGGCUGGGACAAGAAAAAAGAACUAGGUAAAAUAUUUUGAAAUCUGAUUUUCUUCCUGGAACAUUCUAUUUUAGGAAUAAAACUGUUAUGAACAUUUAUGCACAAGUCUUUUCCAUGUCCAGUGUUUUCAUUUCUCCUGGACAAAUACCUAGACGUGUGUUUGCUGGGUCAGAGGGUAGGUGCAUGUUUAACUUUACCAGAAACUGCCAGACCGAUUUUCAAAGUGGUUGUACAGUUUUACAUUCCCCUCAUGACAUGUGAGGUUCUCUUGCUCUACAUCGUUGCAUCCUUGGCAGUUAUCCCAAAUCUCCUCUGACUUCUUUCUUUUCUUUCCCUUUUUUUGUUUUUGUUUUUUUUUUGUUUUUGUUUUUUAGGGCCACACCUGAAGCAUAUGGAGGUUCCCAGGCUAGGGGUCAAAUCGGAGCUGCAGUUGCCAGCCUACACCACAGCCACAGCAACUCGGGAUCUGAGCCACAUCUGUGACCUACACCACAGCUCACAACAACACCGGAUCCUUAACCCACUGAGCAAGGCCAAGGAUAGAACCUUCCUCCUCAUGGAUGCUAGUUAGAUUCAUUAACCACUGAGCCUCUGACUUUCAUUAGCAUUUGCAUUUUCUUGAUAACUAAGGAUGGGUUUUUAUGUGCUUACUGGUACAUCCUCCUUUCUGAAGUGCCUGUUCCAGUCUUUUGCCCACUUUGUUUUUUAACUAAGAUCACGUAAUCACAACACCCAGCGAUAACCAUCAUUAACAUUUUGGUCUUUUUUUUCCCCUAAGUAUUUACUAAUUUGCAAAUGUCUUCUUUACAAAAUUGAAUCUGUAUUAUAUAAACUGUUCUGUAACCUAUUUUUUUCAUUUGUGAUUGGUCAUGAACAUUUUUUUUUUCUGUCCGUAAAUACACUUCUUUGUCAUCAUUUCUUUUUCCAUGAAUAGUCAUUGUGAAACUGACAGCACUAACGGCCUGAACCCAGCCAGAACACAGAUUGGGACUUGAACCCACGAUUUUAAAUUCGAGUUACCCUGUACCUGAACUCACCAAGGCUCAGUUUCUUUAUGCCUCCGUGCAGAAGGAAUUCAGCGAGAGACAAAGUGAUAGGCAAGGAACAGAUUUAUUAGGAUAGGAUACUUGUAAGAGAUGCAAGCGGGCAGGCAAGGAAGCUCUGCCCCAGGAUGCUGUGGGCCACAGUUUUAUCAUCCAAGAGUCAUGGGGUUGGAAAGGCCUGCCUCUUCCUUUCUGGGAGUAGUAGCUCCUCCUUAGUAUCAGGUAAGGUGUGUAUUCAAAUCAGCUGACAGGAAGUCUUCAAACUCUUGCCCUUGGUCUGAAUCCGAAUGCAGGCCUUAUCCCAUCCCCCACCCAAUGACCUGAGGCGAUUCUUGCACCUCCACUAGUUAAGCAGGCCUGCCUUUUCUUAAUGGUCUUCUUAAACUUACAGUGUUCUUCCAACAUCUCCUAGGUUUCCCUCUUUAUCAAUAAUCCCCUAUUGAGACUUCUGCAACCACCUGUAGCAACUCUAUCCCUAUCAAUUGCAGUUUCAUUCACAGUAAUAGCCCAGACAGGAUACACUCCAAAUGCCUUUCACUUGGUGGAUGGAUAAACAAAAGGCAGCUUAUAUCUGUACAGUGGAAGACUACUCAGCAAUAAAAAGGAAUGGACUACAGAUAAAUGUGUCAUACAUGCAGAACCAUUAUGCUGAGUGAAAAAAAGCUAGACCCCAAAGUGUAAAUGCAAACUAAGGUGAAAAUGCAAAAAUAGUGACAAAAAAAAAAAAAACUUGGGCCUGAGAGAUGGAUUGCCAAGAGAGAAAAUAAAAUCUUUGAGGAGAAAAUAUUCUAUAUAUUGAUUGGAGUUAUAUUUUCACUGGUAUAUGCAUCCAUCAGAACUCGUCAGGUUAUACCUUUAAAAUGAAUGCACACUGAGGCAAAUUAUAGCUCAAUAAAUUGAUUUCCACAAAAAGCAUUGUUAAGGAAAUGCAAUAUAGGAUACAGGCACUGAAAGAAGCAAAGCAAGCAUGGCAACACAAAGAAAAGAGAGGAAUUAAGUAGUGAGAAGCCAGGAAGUAUAGGAAGUUGAGAUAAGAAAGUAGAGUUUUGCUUUCAGAAAAAAAAAAAAAAAUUUUUUUUAAGUUGAAUUAGGGCUCUUAGUUAAACCUCAUUGAAGUUUAAGCCAAUAGGGUGACUUAUUCCUCAUAGCAUACAAAAAAAAAAGGGGGGGGGGAUUGGACAAUUGGAGCCUGAGACUCAAGGCUGUCCGUUUUGAUCCUUUGGCUAGAGCCAGCAAGCAGGCUUUUCUAGGGUAUGUGUGUGUAUGUGUGUGUGUGAGAGAGAGAUGUGUUGCAAUUAAUUUUUUUCCUACAUAGAUAGCCAGUUGUUUUAGCACCAUUCGAUGGAAACAUUUUCUCUCCUUAUUGAACUUCUUUGGUUGUCUAAGAUUUUCUAUAAAUAUGAUAGUGUCACUGCAAAGAUACUUUUACUCCUUUCUUUGCAGUUUUAUGCCUUUUGUUUCUUUUUCUUGUCUUAUUACACUGUUGGAGACCUCUACUAGGAGGGAUGAAAGUGGACAUAUUUGUCCUGAUCUUAAUCUUAGGGGAAGAGUUCCCAACGUGGCUCAGCGGUUAACGAAUCCGACUAGUAUCCAUGAGGAUGCUGGUUCGAUCCCUGGCCUUGCUUGGUGGGUUAAGGAUCUGGCAUUGCCAUGAGCUGUGGUGUAGGUCACAGAUGCAGCUCGGAUCAUGCAUUGCUGUUCCUACAUCUAUAGAGAUGAUCACAUGAUUUUUCUUUUUUAUUCUGUAAAUUGUAGCAAUUUGUAUUCAAAUGUUAAACUAACAUUGGGUUCCUGGAAUAAACAUCAUUUGAUCAUGAUAAUUAUUAUUUUUCUCUGUUCCUGGGCUCAAUUUGCUAAAAUUUUGUUAAGGACUUUUAUAUCGAUGUUCUUUUUUUUUUUUUCCUUUUCUUCUUUGGCCACCCCAUGGCAUAUGAAGUUCUUGGGCCAGGGAUCAGAUCCGAGUCUCAGUUGCAACCUAAGCCAUAGCUGUGGCACCACUAGAUCCUUAACCCACUUUUCUGGGCCGGGGAUCAAACCUAUGUCCCAACACUCCCAAGAUGCCUCCAAUCCCAUUGCACCACAAGGUGAACGCCCAUAUCUGUGUUCUUGAUAAUAUUGGUCAGCAGUUUGGGGGGGGGGUGUUUUAAUGUCUUUUGGUUUUGAUAUGAGUAACUCUGGUCGCAUAAAACAAGUUUGUAAAUGUUUCCUCCAUUUCCCUUCUAUUUUCUAAAAAGCGUUGUGUAGGAUUAGUAUUAUUUCCUCUUUAAAUAUUUGAGAUAAUUCAUCGAUGAAAUUUUUGUAUGUAUAUGUAAAACCCCUUGUUUGUUUCCCUUCUUUCAGGAGUUAAAGCCCUCUCUGACUGUUGUCCAGCGUCUAUUUUAUGUACUUUACCUAGUUUUGUGGUUGUUUAUAGUGAGAGGGCUGUGUGGUGCCAGUUGCUCCAUCAUGGCUAGGGCAAAAGUAUCUGGUAAUAAGCUUGUUUAAGUUUAUGUUAUUAUUAGAGUAAUUCUAAAUUCAGUAGAUUCAGUAUUAUCUUGGUAUUGAACCCAUCUCAGUAGAUUGUCCUAAUUGCAUUUCUACCGGGUCUACCCCCAAAUUAAAUAUGAAUGUAAUUAGUAUAAUUCAAUGU
rnacentral:lncRNA from 1 species